CAGCCUUCAGCUUUCUCGCAGAACAGGAGCACGCAGCGGGUGAUAAGAGUGAGAUUUCUGUCUGGGGGUGUCUCACCCAAAGCUUUUGUUCUUUGCAUUUCAGCAAGUUUUCUUGAGGACAGGCAAGGAUUGGGAUCUGAGGGCCAUUUUUCUGACUCCUUAUUAAGGUUUUAUUUGGGCCUGGCGCAGGCCCAAAUAAAGGUCAGGAGUUGAAGACCAGCUUGGGCAACGUGGUGAAACCCAUCUCCACUAAAAAUACAAAAAUUAGCCAGGUGCGGUGGUGCACAUCUGUAAUCUCAGCUACUUGAGAGGCUGAGGCAUGAGAAUCGCUUGAACCUGGGAGGUAGAGGUUGCAGUGAGCUGAGAUCACGCCACUGCCCUCCAGCCUGGGUGAUAGAGCGAGACUCCAACUCAAGAAACAAAAAAGGUUAUAUUUGCCAAUUACUAAGCCAAAGGGCACAAUCAAAGUGAUAAAUAGUGCUUUUCAAACUAUUGGGUUGUGUCCCAGUUUUUGGAUUGUGAAAUCAAAUUAGCACAACUGAAUAUGUAAUUUUGAAAAACAGAAUAGAAUAGAAAAUGCCAGACUGCAUUGGAUACAUGCAUAAGGAGUGCUAUGGGCUGAAUCAUAUCCCCACAAAUUCAUAUGUUGGAGUCCUAACCCCCGGUAGCUCAGAAUAUGACCUUAUUUGGAGAUAGAGUUUUUUAAAGAGGUAAUUAAGGUCAAAUAAGGUUAUUAGGGUGGACCCUAUUCCAAUAUAACUGGUAUCUUUAUAAGAAAGGGAGAUUAAGACACAAACGCCCACUGAGGGAAGACCAUGUGAGGACACAGGGAGAAGACAACCAUCUACAAUCCAAGGAAAGAGGCUUCAGAAGGAACCACCCUUGCUGACACCUUGAUCUUGGACUUCUGGCCUCCAGAACUGUGAGACAAUAACUUUCUGUUGUUUGAGCCACCUGGUCUGUGAUGCUUUGUUAUGGAAGCCUGAGCAAACUAAUACAAGGGUUGCGAAGUGUACAAUUGGAAUGGACACACUUGGUACCUGCCAUAACUGCUGCAUUAUUUGGCCUGUGAGUCUGAAGAGAACUGGACCUCCUGGACAUCCUGCAGAACGGCACCCUGGUCCACUGUAUCAUGCCUCAUGUCAAUCAGAUAUCAGAUGGGUGAGCAAGAUGCAGCAAGUGUACUGAAGGCCUUGGAAAGACACAUGGGCUUCAGAUCAUGGGAGACAAACCCUAAGUUUCAGAGGCCCAUCACAUCAGUUGUAGAAGUCUGGUGUUCCAAGGCGCACUGGGGAUAAAUGUAAAGGAUAAAUUAUUGCAUCUCACACCUCCCACCAUGAAGAAGGAAGCACAGUGCUGGUAGGUCCCAUCGUUUCUGGAGGCGGCAUAUUCCAUAUCUGGGAAUACUCUUCCUACCCAUAGACUGGAUUACAUGGAAGGCUGCCUCCUGUAAGUAAGGCCCAGAGGAGGGCUCUGGAGUAGAUCCAGGCUGCAGUGCAAACAGCCCUUCUGCUUGGGCUGAACAAUCCAGCAUGCCUUAGGUUACUAGUGAUCUCAGAGGUAGGGAAAGGCCACCAUGUUCAGUUUACAGAAAGUUCCACUGGGGAAUCAUGAAGGACUCCUAGGGCUCCGGAGCAACGCCAUGCCAUCUACAGUAGAAAAUUUUACACUCUUCAUUAAAGAGCUCCUGGUGUGCUGCUGCUGGACCACGGUAGAGAUGAAGCAGCUGGACAUGGGACACCAAGUGACCAUAUGCACCUCCAGAGGUGCCCCGCACAGGCUCAUCAGGUUCUAAGGCUAGGUGGGCCCUGCAGUAUCCAAGGCAAGACAGAAGUUCUGCAUCCAUGAUCAAAUAUAUCAGCAGGGCCUGAAGGCCCAAGCCAGCUACACUGGCAGCUAGCUCAGAAUUCCAGAGCCCCCACCACUGUUGCACCAAGGGUACUCCCUCAACUCACACCUAUGGCCACAUUUGGAAGGGGAAAUCCUUAUGAUCCACAGAUGGAGGAAGAAAAAGUGAGCUUGGAUCUUGGAUGGCAAAUGUGGACAAAAAUG
rnacentral:lncRNA from 1 species